AUUGAACGCUGGCGGAAUGCUUUACACAUGCAAGUUGAACGGCAGCACGGGGCAACCUGGUGGCGAGUGGCGAACGGGUGAGUAAUAUAUCGGAACGUGCCCAAUCGUGGGGGAUAACGUAGCGAAAGUUACGCUAAUACCGCAUACGAUCUACGGAUGAAAGCGGGGGAUCGCAAGACCUCGCGCGAAUGGAGCGGCCGAUAUCAGAUUAGGUAGUUGGUGGGGUAAAGGCUCACCAAGCCAACGAUCUGUAGCUGGUCUGAGAGGACGACCAGCCACACUGGAACUGAGACACGGUCCAGACUCCUACGGGAGGCAGCAGUGGGGAAUUUUGGACAAUGGCGCAAGCCUGACU
rnacentral:rRNA from 1 species